AACUUAGCCUUCGGUAGCUUUGUAUGCAUUUUUGACUCUUCAAAAGGAGGCUGAAAAACUGUAAAUUUCAGAUUGUCAUCUGCUACAGAACGAGUAAGAAACUUUGAUAAAAUUUUGCAAAAAAUCUAAACGUAUGACAGACACUUUGUUUAGCAUUUUCAUACUUUAUGAUCAUUUUACUAUAGAAAAUUUCUAUAAUUAAAGACAUUAGGCGGAUUCUUAAGUGUUAUGCGUCUUCAUGAAGAUUGGGCAUAUUCCUUUAUUUUCAGCCUGAUUUUGGAUGGGUGGGGGGUAAUAUUAUUUGCUCUCAGAUUGUACUAUAUGGAGCAAUGGAUGCAUAUAGUUAUUUUUUUCAAUGUUUGUCAUAUAUCCUUGAAUACUGCCAAGCAGUAAGUUUUUCACAUGUUUAUAAAAUCAAAAAAAAUUUGGUAAUGUGUUUAACGGCCUCACGGAACUAAAAAUUGCUCAUUUUUAGGUCCCCUGCCCCCUUAAGGAAAAUUUCAUUUUUUGAAAAUGUUUUGAAAUUAGCAAUUUUUUACUGCAAAACAUUUGUAAGACACUUAUUAACAUUAUUUGAUACAAUUCAUUGGAUUUAACCUACUUCUGAAAAGCAAAUGGCCUGUUUAUUAAAGGGAGGUAAUAAAUACACUGAAAAUUGACAAAAUUUGUUAGUUACCCAAGCAUCAUGAAAAUGCAUAUUUAUUGAUUAUAGAAAGCUUUGUAUUGCUCAAAUUAACAUUUUAACAUAUAAUUUAACAGUUUGAUGCCUUAAAGGUUAAUUUUUUGUAGAAAUGUCUUCUCAUUUACAUUUUCUAUAUGAAAAUCCUAGUUAUUAUAGCCUGACUAACUAUUAUUUUUUUAUUUUCACUAGAAACAGUCAUAAUGGCCAGUUUUCUAUUUAAUUUAUCUUUAACAAGUGAUGAAAAAGCACAUGUUAUGUCGGUUAUUGACAAAAAAUCUGUGUCUGUUGGUAAUUGCCUGAAAUGGCAUGGUACGGUGGACACAGAUGGCUACGGCCAGCUACGUUUUAUGCUUCGAGGGCGCAGGGUAAAAGUUAGGGUUCACCGUGCGGUGUAUUUUUUAGAAACUGGUCAGGUUCUUGACCCGAAAAUACAUGUAUCACACCUGUGUCAUAAUAAAUUAUGUAUAAAUUUGAAUCACUUAAAUUAUGAGCCUCAGGGUGUUAACAAUGCAAGGAAAGUUUGCUUUAAUGAGGGGGUUUGUACUGGUCAUUAUGGCUAUCCAGCUUGUAGACUUUAAGGCGUGCCUGGCAAACCACUGACUUCCGGCGGCAACCAUUGUGCUUGCCACUGAAACAGUCCAGAAUGUUUUCAAUAGCAUCUCUGGCUCUCUGUAUGUACUGAUCUUGCUGGUGAAAGAGUUUCUGCAUUCUGGCGCGAAAACUUGUGUGGCAGUGAUGUUGUUUGCUUGUGGCCUGCUUGUGUAAGAUGCAUCGAAUUCCACAUCUGUUUCAGCAGAGGCUCCAGACAGGCUUUGACUGUGCGCGGCGUGGGCGUAACUUGAAUGGCAGAACUGAGGAAUUAAGUCUUUGACCAGCAGCAUUUAGUACAUCAUCCGCAACUGAUUGCUCAAGACGCACAAAAGAUUCCGGACACUGGUUAAUUGGUAAAUCCACAUUUCUGGAACAAGAUGCUGAAUUAACACUGUUGUUAAUGUCAUAGUUUGGAUAAAAACCUUUCUUAAACAGUGCGCCUUUUGCUCGCCUAGCAACAUUGUGCUUAUAACUUAAAUUUGAAGUUUUUUUUAAUUUGUCUCAUUAUUAACUUAAUUGUACAUGCAACUCAAAGUGCUUAUUGAUACUGAAGCUGGGCAAAGAUUUGUUUGGGGACAAUAUUCUUAUGUUUCUUAUUUUUCUGUGUUUAAGAGUCUUAAAUGAAGUAAACAGUGUCAGGUCAUUAAGGAAUAACUACUAUUUGUCUUUCUUUUGACCGUUAUAAGCAGAAAGGUAAACUUUGGAAUUAUAGUACUUAUCUCCCUUUUACUUUGUCAUUGUAAACUCUAAUACAGCCAAGCUGUUUAAUAUAUUUAAAUCUGAAAAUAAUUACCUUUAAAAAUGAACUAAGAGUGCAUUAUUUUAGCAAUAUGACUAUAUAUUUAUAUGAACAUUAUAUAUUUUAAAUUAAUCAGUGCUCAUUCCAGUCAUAGAAGUAUAUCUUCAUAUAAUAUAUAUAUUGAGGUCUAAUUUGCAGUGUACAUCAUUUUGUGCAUGGAAAUAGAGCUGCAUGCUUGAUUUUUUGGUGAAAAUCAUGUAAUAUAAUGCUUGAAAUAACAAAAAAGAUUGCUUUGGGUCUUAAAAUGUGCUGAAACCAGGAAAAAAUGCAUCUAUAUAGUUUUCUGUCACUUAGAAGAAAAUCAGUCAUACUACAGAAAUGGACAUUGUACUGGUUAUUUCCCUUGAAAUUAGACCUUUUUCUAAAACUGGGAUAAAAUAAGAUAUAAACACACUAUUCAAAUUUCAAAUAUACCAUUUUAUUCAGAAUUGUCUAUAUUUCAAUAAAACAACAGCAAAUAUGACAAUUGGGAGCACAUAAAAAUACUUAAGGGGGCAGGGGACAUAUUCGUACUUUGGCCCCGGUGAAAUUUAUUGAUAAUACAGACAUGGUGUUUUGAAGGUGUUGAAAAUUGUUUAUAUUUCUUUGUUGAUGUAAUUCUUUGUAAUUUGUAUGUAGGAAAUGAGCUAAAUUUAUAUGU